GACGAACGCUGGCGGCGUGCUUAACACAUGCAAGUCGAACGGAAAGGCCCUGCUUUUGUGGGGUGCUCGAGUGGCGAACGGGUGAGUAACACGUGAGUAACCUGCCCUUGACUUUGGGAUAACUUCAGGAAACUGGGGCUAAUACCGGAUAGGAGCUCCUGCUGCAUGGUGGGGGUUGGAAAGUUUCGGCGGUUGGGGAUGGACUCGCGGCUUAUGAGCUUGUUGGUGGGGUAGUGGCUUACCAAGGCUUUGACGGGUAGCCGGCCUGAGAGGGGGGACGGCGACAUUGGGACUGAGGUACGGCCCAGACUCCAACGGGAGGCAGCAGUGGGGAAUAUUGCACAGUGGGCGGAAGCCUGAUGCGGAAACGCCGCGUGCGGGAUGACGGCCUUCGGGUUGUGAACCGCUUUCGCCUGUGACGAAGCGUGAGUGACGGUAAUGGGUAAAGAAGCACCGGCUAACUACGUG
rnacentral:rRNA from 1 species